AUUAAUUCGAUGCAACGCGAAGAACCUUACCUGGGCUUGACAUAUAGAGGAUCGCUACAGAGAUGUGGUUUCCCUUGUGGCUUCUAUACAGAUGGUGCAUGGUUGUCGUCAGCUCGUGUCGUGAGAUGUUGGGUUAAGUCCCGCAACGAGCGCAACCCUUGUCUUAUGUUGCCAGCACGUUAUGGUGGGGACUCGUGAGAGACUGCCGGGGUCAACUCGGAGGAAGGUGGGGAUGACGUCAAAUCAUCAUGCCCCUUAUGUCCAGGGCUUCACACAUGCUACAAUGGCCGGUACAGAGGGCUGCGAUGCCGUGAGGCGGAGCGAAUCUCUUAAAGCCGGUCUCAGUUCGGAUUGGGGUCUGCAACUCGACCCCAUGAAGUCGGAGUCGCUAGUAAUCGCAGAUCAGCAACGCUG
rnacentral:rRNA from 1 species